AACGAACGCUGGCGGCAUGCCUAACACAUGCAAGUCGAACGAGACCUUCGGGUCUAGUGGCGCACGGGUGCGUAACGCGUGGGAACCUGCCUUUAGGUUCGGAAUAACUCAGAGAAAUUUGAGCUAAUACCGGAUGAUGUCUUCGGACCAAAGAUUUAUCGCCUUUAGAUGGGCCCGCGUAAGAUUAGCUAGUUGGUGGGGUAAAGGCCUACCAAGGCGACGAUCUUUAGCUGGUCUGAGAGGAUGAUCAGCCACACUGGGACUGAGACACGGCCCAGACUCCUACGGGAGGCAGCAGUGGGGAAUAUUGGACAAUGGGCGAAAGCCUGAUCCAGCAAUGCCGCGUGAGUGAUAGAAGCCGUUAGGGUUGUAAGCUCUUUACCCGAGAUGAUAAUGACAGUAUCGGGAGAAUAAGCUCCGGCUAACUCCGUGCCAG
rnacentral:rRNA from 1 species